GAUUAUGGCUCAGGAUAAACGCUAGCGGCAGGCCUAACACAUGCAAGUCGAGCGGCAGCGGGAGUAGCAAUACUGCCGGCGAGCGGCGGACGGGUGAGUAACGCGUAUGCAACCUGCCCACCACACGGAGAUAGCCGACCGAAAGGACGAUUAAACUCCGAUGGCAUUGGGAACCGGCAUCGGUAUCCAAUUAAAUAUUUAUAGGUGGUGGAUGGGCAUGCGUGGCAUUAGUUAGUUGGCGGGGCAACGGCCCACCAAGACGAUGAUGCCUAUGGGUUCUAAAAGGAAGGUCCCACACAUCGGUACUGAGACACGGACCGAACUCCUACGGGAGGCAGCAGUGAGGAAUAUUGGACAAUGGGGGCAACCCUGAUCCAGCCAAACCGCGUGGUGGAAAGGAGGUCGUUAAGAUCGUAAACACCUUUUAUAUGGGAAUAAUACACAUCACGUGUGGUGUGUUGAAUGUACCAUUUGAAUAAGCAUCGGCUAACUCCGUGCCAGCCGCCGC
rnacentral:rRNA from 1 species